rnacentral:rRNA from 1 species
CGGACACUCUUCAAGGUGCUGCAUGGUUGUCGUCAGCUCGUGCCGUGAGGUGUCGGUUAAGUCCCAUAACGAGCGCAACCCUUACUGUUAGUUGCCAGCGGGUCAAGCCGGGAACUCUAACGGGACUGCCACCGUAAGGUGAGAGGAAGGUGGGGAUGACGUCAAAUCAGCACGGCCCUUAUGUCCAGGGCUACACACGUGUUACAAUGGUCGGUACAAAGGGCAGCUACACCGCGAGGUGAUGCUAAUCUCUAAAGCCGGUCUCAGUUCGGAUCGAAGUCUGCAACCCGACUUCGUGAAGUUGGAUUCGCUAGUAAUCGCGCAUCAGCCAUGGCGCGGUGAAUACGUUCCCGGGCCUU